ACACGCUGAAGCGGUAUAUAUACUAAAAUUGGAACGAUACAGAGAAGAUUAGCAUGGACUCAGCGCAAGAAUACACGCAAAAUAGUGAAGCGCUCCACAUUCCU